UUGGACUUACGCUCUGCUAAUGGUAACGGAACAAAGCCGGAGAGGGAAACUUCCUGAGAGGCCAAACUGAGGGCAUUAAAGUCAAUUGGAAACCGGAAGCACUUGUAUCCUCUCCUCCCAGGCAAGAACAGCAUAGCGGUCGUGUUGUGGCGAUUAACACGCUACAUUCAGGGACAUAGCCCCUGUUUUAAACCUUCACGGAAUCUCAAAAGGCCUUUGCCACCAUGACGCCCCUCCUCUUGAAGCGCCUGGCUACCUCCCUGAUUUGCCAAGUGGCCCAGAUGAGCCGGUUAAAUCUGACCUCACCAGCAGCUGGUGCUUACAGAUGUCUCUGCACCCUCACCACAGCUCCCCGCACACUGCUGCUGUCAUCAGCCAGAAUCAGCUCCAUCCAGCCGCCCUUGCCUGGCUCUUCUGCUCGCUGUGGGCCGUCUCUGUUGGGACAGUGUCAGCAUCUUCCCUGUGUCCAGCCCUCUGCAGGGAUGAAAACCAAGUCUGCCUUGAAGAGGCGAUGCAAAGACUGUUUCUUUGUUCGACGGAGGGGACGUUUGUUUGUGUUCUGCAAGACAAAUCCGAGACACAAGCAGAGGCAGGGCUAAAAUGUUGAUUUAGAAGUUUUCUUUGAUAUGGUGAAUAUUUAGAAGAACUGUGCUGCGUUAAUAAAUUGUUUGGCUUAA